GUCAGGGCCAAAAUCUAUGUUAUCCUUGACAUGGUCGCUGGUGGAGAGGGGCGAUGACAGCUGAGAAGAUUCUGGGAACAACACAAAAUACUCUGCAAAAGACAGCCAAGAGCUCUGCAUGUCUACUCCCAAGCUGAAACAAGGAGCUGUAUUUUGCACCUACUGAGGGUUGAAGCUUGGAUAAACAGAGCACGGGAAGCUGAUGAGAGUUAAAAGAAAAUACAGGGAUUCACACACUUCCACCCCUUGGCAUCCCUAAUCUUUUCCAUGAGUCAGUCAGUAUUGAGCUCAUGUUGUUCACAGUGGAGUACUUGAUCCGCAGUCCACACCAAAGCUUCCCAGCAGCAGAGUUCCCAUGAACAACCUCUCUGGGAGAAACGGCUGAGUUGGCAAGCAGAAGUCGACCACUAGAGAAGGCCAUUUACGCUCUGUGACAAAUCACAUGACUCGUGGUGUAAAGGGAGUAUACCGACAUGAAUUAAAACAAAGCAUCUGCUUCUAUUGAUGCGUUUGGUUUUGAGUCUGCCAUGUGAAUACUGCUUCCUCUUUCCAUGGCUUCCUCCCACCCAAUGUUCCUCUCUAAUAAAGCUGCAAACACGGCCAAGUAAAAAGCAGUAAGAGGAACAGAACAUCCUAAGCUAAAGAUGGUCUAAAGCCUGUAUUUAUACACUCAGAUACCAUUCAAAAGUGACGCAGUUACUUUUGCAUGACCAGAGUUACAAUGCAUGUCAAGCAUUGCGGUAAAGGUGCAAACACACUCACGACGUAUCUAAAGCCAGAGCACACUCUUGAAUUAAGGACAAGGUUGACCUCUGCAGUGGCUUUGAUUGACCACUUCAGAUACAGGCUCCACAGGCAGGAAUUAUCUACAGCUGAUACCACACAGACCGCACGUUUUGUGGUGGACCAAGUGCUGCCCAUGUGAAAACAAG